GAUGAACGCUGGCGGCGUGCCUAAUACAUGCAAGUCGAACGAACAGACGAGGAGCUUGUUCCCCUGACGUUAGCGGCGGACGGGUGAGUAACACGUGGAUAACCUACUUAUAUGACGGGGAUAACUUCGGGAAACCGGAUCUAAUACCGGAUAAUAUAUUGAACCGCAUGGUUCAAUAGAGAAAGACGGUUUUGCUGUUACUAAUAGCUGGUUCCGGGCCGCAUUAGCUAGUUGGUAAGGUAACGGCUUACCAAGGCAACGAUGCGUAGCCGACCUGAGAGGGUGAUCGGCCACACUGGAACUGAGACACGGUCCAGACUCCUACGGGAGGCAGCAGUAGGGAAUCUUCGGCAAUGGGCGAAAGCCUGACGGAGCAACGCCGCGUGAGUGAUGAAGGUCUUCGGAUCGUAAAGCUCUGUUAUUGGGAAAGAACAGAUGUGGAAGUAACUAUGCACGUCUUGACGGUACCUAAUCAGAAAGCCACGGCUAACUACGUG
rnacentral:rRNA from 1 species